GAGGGAGGCCUAUGAGGCGUUGGGAACUGCUAAUUCUUAGUAUCAUGGUUAGAAUCCAUGGCUCGCUCG
rnacentral:tRNA from 1 species